rnacentral:rRNA from 1 species
GUGGGGAAUAUUGGACAAUGGGCGCAAGCCUGAUCCAGCCAUGCCGCGUGAGUGAUGAAGGCCCUAGGGUUGUAAAGCUCUUUCACCGGUGAAGAUAAUGACGGUAACCGGAGAAGAAGCCCCGGCUAACUUCGUGCCAGCAGCCGCGGUAAUACGAAGGGGGCUAGCGUUGUUCGGAAUUACUGGGCGUAAAGCGCACGUAGGCGGGUAUUUAAGUCAGGGGUGAAAUCCCAGAGCUAAACCCUGGAACUGCCUUUGAUACUGGGUACCUAGAGUAUGGAAGAGGUAAGUGGAAUUCCGAGUGUAGAGGUGAACUUCGUAGAUAUUCGGAGGAACACCAGUGGCGAAGGCGGCUUACUGGUCCAUUACUGACGCUGAGGUGCGAAAGCGUGGGGAGCAAACAGGAUUAGAAACCCCGGUAGUCC